rnacentral:rRNA from 1 species
ACGGCUACCACAUCUAAGGAAGGCAGCAGGCGCGCAAAUUACCCAAUCCUAAUACAGGGAGGUAGUGACAAGAAAUAACAAUACAGGACUUUAACAGUUUUGUAAUUGGAAUGAGUUGAGUAUAAACCCCUUUACAAGUAUCAAUUGGAGGGCAAGUCUGGUGCCAGCAGCCGCGGUAAUUCCAGCUCCAAUAGCGUAUAUUAAAGUUGUUGCAGUUAAAAAGCUCGUAGUUGGAUUUCUGUUAAUAAUUUAUAUAUAAUAUUUAACAUAUUUAUAUAAUAUUAACAUAAUUCAUAUUACUAUUUAUAGUAUAUGAAACUUUACUUUGAGAAAAUUAGAGUGCUUAAAGCAGGCUUUUGCCUUGAAUACUAGAGCAUGGAAUAAUAUUAA